CAGCCUCCUGUUCACUGCAACUUUAACAAUGACCUUCAACCCUGCGUAGAAUUCACACUGAACAGCUGACUUCUAAUUUAGUUCUGUGAUCUGUAAUGGGCUUAUAGGACCAGUUGAUUUUUUUUUAAAAAAGCAGGAAUAUGAUUCUCUAAUAAGCUGUGAUGAGAAACACUUUCAUCUCAAUCAAAGAUGCAACUGAGCUGAAGUAUAGAAAAUCGAAGACAAUUGCUCUGUGAAAUCAAUGUAAAAGAUGGAAUAAUGGAUGAGUGGAUGGAUAAAUCCCAGCUUAAUAGAGGCUUCGGCAAGAUUUUUACAGCCAGAUGCCAACCCUCUCGUAACAAAGUAAAAGCAAGAAACUGAAGCAUCUUUCAAAGAACACACCCAGUAAGUUCACUGGAAGUUUCAAGAAAGUUACCUGGCCCAAAAUGGUUAUCAGGUGGGGGUAGACCACCUCAUCUGGUCAGGUAACUAAUCCACUUUCAGCUCAAAAACCAAGAGGGACCCUGCCUGGCACUUGAGUGAAGUGUACCCUUUAGCCCUGUAAAAUGAGGAUCAAAUAAAAAGAAGACAGAUGCCUUCCCAAGAGUAAACUUGAAUUUGCUUUAUAUAUGACACAGCUCCACUCUGCUAGUUGGGAAA